GGGGAAAGCUGGGGGGGGACCUUCGGGGCCUAGCGCUAUCAGAUGAGCCUAUGUCGGAUUAGCUUGUUGGUGAGGUAACGGCUCACCAAGGCGACGAUCCGUAGCUGGUCUGAGAGGAUGAUCAGCCACACUGGGACUGAGACACGGCCCAGACUCCUACGGGAGGCAGCAGUGGGGAAUAGUUGGACAAUGGGCGCAAGCCUGAUCCAGCCAUGCCGCGUGUGUGAAGAAGGCCUUCGGGUUGUAAAGCACUUUCAGCGGGGAGGAAAGGGAUGGGUUGCUUAAUAUCAGCCGUCUGUGACGUUACUCGCAGAAGAAGCACCGGCUAACUCCGUG
rnacentral:rRNA from 1 species